rnacentral:rRNA from 1 species
UACGUAGGUGGCAAGCGUUAUCCGGAUUUAUUGGGCGUAAAGGGAACGCAGGCGGUCUUUUAAGUCUGAUGUGAAAGCCUUCGGCUUAACCUGAGUAGUGCAUUGGAAACUAGGAGACUUGAGUGCAGAAGAGGAGAGUGGAACUCCAUGUGUAGCGGUGAAAUGCGUAGAUAUAUGGAAGAACACCAGUGGCGAAAGCGGCUCUCUGGUCUGUAACUGACGCUGAGGUUCGAAAGCGUGGGUAGCAAACAGG